ACGGAAGGCAGCAGUGAGGAAUAUUGGUCAAUGGACGCAAGUCUGAACCAGCCAUGCCGCGUGCAGGAAUAAGGCCCUAUGGGUCGUAAACUGCUUUUGUGGUGGAGCAAUAAGUCGUACGUGUACGGCGAUGAGAGUACAUCACGAAUAAGCAUCGGCUAACUCCGUGCCAGCAGCCGCGGUAAUACGGAGGAUGCAAGCGUUAUCCGGAUUUAUUGGGUUCAAAGGGUGCGUAGGCUGUGGUCCAAGUCAGGGGUGAAAGCCCGGAGCUCAACUCCGGAACUGCCUUUGAUACUGGAUUGCUGGAAUACGGAUGCCGUGGGAGGAAUGAGUAGUGUAGCGGUGAAAUGCAUAGAUAUUACUCAGAACACCGAUUGCGAAGGCAUCUCACGAAUCCGUCAUUGACGCUGAGGCACGAAAGCGUGGGGAUCAAACAGGAUUAGAUACCCUGGUA
rnacentral:rRNA from 1 species